rnacentral:rRNA from 1 species
AAUGGGGGCAACCCUGAUCCAGCCAUGCCGCGUGUGUGAAGAAGGCCUUCGGGUUGUAAAGCACUUUUGGCGGGAACGAAACGGUCUGUGCUAAUACCACGGACUAAUGACGGUACCCGCAGAAUAAGCACCGGCUAACUACGUGCCAGCAGCCGCGGUAAUACGUAGGGUGCAAGCGUUAAUCGGAAUUACUGGGCGUAAAGCGUGCGCAGGCGGUUUCGCAAGUCAGAUGUGAAAUCCCCGGGCUCAACCUGGGAACUGCAUUUGAAACUACGAGGCUUGAGUGUGGCAGAGGGGGGUGGAAUUCCACGUGUAGCAGUGAAAUGCGUAGAGAUGUGGAGGAACACCGAUGGCGAAGGCAGCCCCCUGGGCUAACACUGACGCUCAUGCACGAAAGCGUGGGGAGCAAA